GACGAACGCUGGCGGCGUGCUUAACACAUGCAAGUCGAACGGAAAGGCCCUGCUUUUGUGGGGUGCUCGAGUGGCGAACGGGUGAGUAACACGUGAGUAACCUGCCCUUGACUUUGGGAUAACUUCAGGAAACUGGGGCUAAUACCGGAUAGGAGCUCCUGCUGCAUGGUGGGGGUUGGAAAGUUUCGGCGGUUGGGGAUGGACUCGCGGCUUAUCAGCUGGUUGGUGGGGUAGUGGCUUACCAAGGCUUUGACGGGUAGCCGGCCUGAGAGGGUGGCCGGCCACAUUGGGACUGAGAUACGGACCAGAAUCCUACGGGAGGCAGCAGUGGGGAAUAUUGCGCAAUGGGCGGAAGCCUGAUGCAGCAACGCCGCGUGCGGGAUGACGGCCUUCGGGUUGUAAACCGCUUUCGCCUGUGACGAAGCGUGAGUGACGGUAAUGGGUAAAGAAGCACCGGCUAACUACGUG
rnacentral:rRNA from 1 species